rfam:Myotis lucifugus cont2.878, whole genome shotgun sequence.
GCUCAGUGGUUAGAGCAUCUGCCUGCAGGCAGAAGGGUCUCAGGUUCAAUUCCUGG